CCUACGGGAGGCAGCAGUGAGGAAUAUUGGUCAAUGGGAGAGAUCCUGAACCAGCCAAGCCGCGUGAGGGAAGACGGCCCUAUGGGUUGUAAACCUCUUUUGUCGGAGAACAAAACCCGGGACGUGUCCCGGACUGCGUGUAUCCGAAGAAAAAGCAUCGGCUAACUCCGUGCCAGCAGCCGCGGUAAUACGGAGGAUGCGAGCGUUAUCCGGAUUUAUUGGGUUUAAAGGGUGCGUAGGCGGUCCGUUAAGUCAGCGGUAAAAUUGCGGGGCUCAACCCCGUCGAGCCGUUGAAACUGGCAGACUUGAGUUGGCGAGAAGUACGCGGAAUGCGCGGUGUAGCGGUGAAAUGCAUAGAUAUCGCGCAGAACUCCGAUUGCGAAGGCAGCGUACUGGCGCCAGACUGACGCUGAGGCACGAAAGCGUGGGGAUCGAACAGGAUUAGAUACCCCUGUAGUC
rnacentral:rRNA from 1 species